rnacentral:rRNA from 1 species
CCUACGGGAGACAGCAGUGAGGAAUAUUGGUCAAUGGACGCAAGUCUGAACCAGCCAUGCCGCGUGCAGGAAGACGGCUCUAUGAGUUGUAAACUGCUUUUGUACGAGGGUAAACGCAGAUACGCGUAUCUGUCUGAAAGUAUCGUACGAAUAAGGAUCGGCUAACUCCGUGCCAGCAGCCGCGGUAAUACGGAGGAUUCAAGCGUUAUCCGGAUUUAUUGGGUUUAAAGGGUGCGUAGGCGGUCGGAUAAGUUAGAGGUGAAAUCCCGAGGCUCAACUUCGGAAUUGCCUCUGAUACUGUUCGGCGAGAGAGUAGUUGCGGUAGGCGGAAUGUAUGGUGUAGCGGUGAAAUGCUUAGAGAUCAUACAGAACACCGAUUGCGAAGGCAGCUUACCAAGCUACUUCUGACGUUGAGGCACGAAAGCGUGGGGAGCAAACAGGAUUAGAUACCCCAGUAGUC